rnacentral:hammerhead_ribozyme from 1 species
ACCCAGCUGACGAGUCCCGAAUAGGACGAAACGCGCGUCCUGGAU